AUGAAGCUUCCUCUGAUCAGGAUAGAGAAGAACCUGUAAGAAAAGUGCAGCAGCCAAGGAGAGAGGCCAGCUCAGAGAUAUGUCUGUAGGGAAGUCAGGGCUGGCUUGUAGGCUCGAAUGUUGGGGAGCUGCAUGCCAUGUGAUUGGAGGGUGUCUCUAACAAAACACCUGAAAAAAAAAGAGGCAAGGGACAUAAUUCUUAGCUAACAAGGGGGCCUCAGAGAGAGGGAUUUGUUAGGGCUAGGAGAAGAAGGAAGGAUGCACCAAGGAAAUGAUAAAGGAUGAAGCAUUGCAGAAAAGCCAAUUGCUGUAUUAAUUCAUUUCAGUCAUGUGUUUGAGCUCUGAUUUUGUGUAUAGCCCUAUGCUGUGGGAAAUGCUAUGAAACAACAGCCACAGAGUCAACAGCGCUGAUUGGUAUGGCUCAGAUGACCAGUGCUGUUCAGAGGAUGGUGAGGGGUCACCAGGGAAGAAGCCAUGGAGGAGCUGAAGCUUGAGCAGGCCCUUGAUGGAAGGGGUUGGGGAAGAUGUCACUGCAGAGCGUGAGCUGGGGAAGAUGAAGAAAUCAGCUGACUGGAGUCUUCAGAAAUGGGGUGGAAUAGCGUGUGCCCUGUGUUGUUGACUACCCUUGUGUUGUGCUGAUAUUCCAUCACAGAGGUGAGUGCCCAGAGAACGGUAAGGAGGGAAGCCCAGAGGAAAGGCUUUGCGGGGAGAAUCCCCACUGCUUUCUUAUGGGAAAUCAAAUGAAUGAGAUAGGGGUGAGCAGGUAAUAUCUAAAUUGUACAGAGUCCCCCUUCUUCCUUCUUUUCUUCCUUUCUUUCUUCCCUGGUAUGGUUUGAAUGCAUCCCCCCAA
rnacentral:lncRNA from 10 species